AGCUAAAAAGAAUUCUCGCUGCAGUGAAAAUGGAUUCUCGCUAUAGUGAGAAACUCUCGGGUGGUCCCAAAAUUCUGGUACAGUAUUUUCACUUUGACGAAGAUUUUGACCACCUUCCGUUCAGAACUGGGAAAAGUAGUAAACAUCAAAGUUGUAGCCCUUCCUCUUAGCUUUCUAAUGGUCUAAAAAUCAGAUCAAUUGGACUUUUGCAGUGGGAUAUAUGCUAGAAAAACUUAAACAUAUGCAAAUUGAGACCGUUUCUCACUACAACGAGAAACUUGCUGCCGUGCUUGCUACCUUGCUUGAUUUUGACCUAUUUUUCACCCAUUUAACUUCAUGGAUUGAUCAUGGGUUUUUGAAACACUAUGAGGUUAUCAAUCAAAGUUUGAAAUAAGAGGUUUUUAGUAAGAAAUUAAAUCAAUUGCAUUGUUUUUGAAACAAGUGCAUCAUGAUUUUCAAAUUCUUCCUAUUGAAUGCUUGUUCCCUUCUUAUGUUUACUCAUUGAGUUUUAUACUCACAUUUUUAAACUUCAUGUUUUUAGAUUUAGAGGCAGCUAGGACCUAGAUUGAGUUAUCCACGUAUGCUUGCUUUCUUGGUAGGUACUAUAACAUCUCAGUAGUUGUACCUUCACCCACGGUCACUCUGUUGACGGUCAAGGGUCUGUUACCUGUGAACAUGCAUAUGUAAUGAAAUCCGCUUGUAUCCAUGUUAUAAGUCAAAUAUGUAUAUUUGAUUACUGAUACCACUAGGAGUUGG
rnacentral:lncRNA from 1 species